GAAUUGCUUGGCGAACUGCUGAACUUGAGGCAAGUAGGGGUGCAUGGAACUCUUGGUGGAGCGGUGGAAUGCGUAGAUAUCAAGAGGAACGCCUGCGGUGAAAACGGUGCACUGGGCUUGCCCUGACGCUCAGAUGCGAAAGCGUGGGGAGCAAACGGGAUUAGAUACCCCGGUAGUCCACGCCCUAAACGAUGCCUACUAGGUCACGGGAAUUCCGACAUUUCCGGGGCCGAAGCAAAAGUGUUAAGUAGGCCGCCUGGGGAGUACGGUCGCAAGGCUAAAACUCAAAGGAAUUGACGGGGGCUCACACAAGCGGUGGAGCAUGUGGAUUAAUUCGAAGCAACGCGCAGAACCUUACCAGGGUUUGACAUGGUCGGAUGCCUUGCUGGAAACAGUAUAGGCUGCCCGCAAGGGUGAAACUUUCACAGGUGCUGCAUGGCUGCCGUCAGCUCGUGUCGUGAGAUGUCGGGUUAAGUCCCUUAACGAGCGAAACCCUUGUCGUUAGUUACCAGCGUAAAGUCGGGAACUCUAACGAGACUGCCGGUGUUAAACCGGAGGAAGGUGGGGAUGACGUCAAGUCCUCAUGGCCUUUAUGCCCUGGGCCUCACACGUGCUACAAUGGCGCCUAUAAAGCGACGCAAGGCCGCAAGGCGGAGCAAAUCGCAAAAAAGUCGCCCCAGUUCAGAUUGCAGGCUGUCAACUCGUCUGCAUGAAGUUGGAAUCGCUAGUAAUCGCGUAUCAGCUAUGACGCGGUGAAUGUGUUCCUGAGCCUUGUACACACCGCCCGUCAAGUGAUGGGAGCCGGUAGUACCCGAAGUCGGGUGCAAACCGCAAGAAGCGCCUGCCGACGGUAA
rnacentral:rRNA from 1 species